rnacentral:rRNA from 1 species
AGAGUUUGAUCCUGGCUCAAGAUGAACGCUAGCGGCAGGCUUAACACAUGCAAGUCGAGGGGCAGCGAGAUUGUUAGCAAUAACGAUUGUCGGCGACCGGCGCAAGGGUGCGUAACGCGUGAGCAACUUGCCCGUUUCAGGGGGAUAACCGGUGGAAACGCCGACUAAUACCCCAUGGUGAUAUCUUAAGGCAUCUUAUGAUAUCUAAAGAAUUUCGGAAACGGAUAGGCUCGCGUGACAUUAGAUAGAUGGCGGGGUAACGGCCCACCAUGUCGACGAUGUCUAGGGGUUCUGAGAGGAAGGUCCCCCACACUGGAACUGAGACACGGUCCAGACUCCUACGGGAGGCAGCAGUGAGGAAUAUUGGUCAAUGGUCGAAGGACUGAACCAGCCAUGCCGCGUGAAGGUCACGGCCCUACGGGUCUUAAACUUCUUUUGCGAGGGAGCAAUAAGGUUCACGUGUGGACUGAUGAGAGUACCUCGCGAAUAAGCAUCGGCUAACUCCGUGCCAGCAGCCGCGGUAAUACGGGGGAUGCGAGCGUUAUCCGGAUUUAUUGGGUUUAAAGGGUGCGUAGGCGGCCUGUUAAGUCAGCGGUGGAAUUCAGGGGCUCAACCUCUGCCGUGCCGUUGAUACUGGCAAGCUUGAAUGCGGAUGCCGUGGGAGGAAUGUGUGGUGUAGCGGUGAAAUGCAUAGAUAUCACACAGAACACCGAUUGCGAAGGCAUCUCACGAAUCCGCUAUUGACGCUGAUGCACGAAAGCGUGGGGAUCAAACAGGAUUAGAUACCCUGGUAGUCCACGCUGUAA